AUUAUGACUUGAAAGAAAUUUGACUUUGUAAUUUCUCACCUUGAAAUUGGGCUUCUGCUUCUAAAAAACAAUUGUGUGUAUAUAUUGAAAACAUUCUAAUUUUAUAUUUUCCUGAACCUGUCUAUAAUAUUUGCACUGUACCGUAUAUCCCUUCCCUUUACUGGAUUUUCUUAUGAUUUCCAGGUACAUUUAUCACAGACUUUUGCCUGACAAAUCGGCUGCGUCUUUGCACUUACGGAACAGUGGCACAAUGCUUAAUAUAGUUACAGUGUGGAAUUUAUCUGGCAGUAAAAAGAAAAACAAAAACACACCACCAUCAGUUACUUAAGUUAAUUGAUUGUUUAAUGGAGCAGGUUUGAAUUACCGUAACAUCCAGACUGCAGAGAGCAUCCGAAUGAAAGACACGCCCACUAACUUUAAAAAACAAAAGAAAAAGUCUGAAGAAGUUUGUUGUCGCUCUCAACGUCAAUUUCGUCUUAUGCCAUCCUCUUCAUCACUCCAGCCUGUCGAAACCCUUUGGCUAAAUACCAGCUGCAUCGCAGUGUUCAAAGCGUGUGAAAAAAGUAGCUCCUACAGUCUGGAAAUUACGGUACUUUUAAAAGGCGAAAAUGUGAUACGACAUAGGUUGGAGGUUAAUUGGGAGAUCAGUACGGUUACAGCUUUACAACUUCUAUCAAUCUAAAUUUUCCAUGUGCUACAGAACACCUGUGCCAUGAUAACAGGGUGUCUUUGGUUUUUGUGUUGGAACAAAAGUGGCUGUGUGUGAAAAGCUCACCUUAGCGCUCCCGCCGGCCCACAGGAAGGAAACUAAUUAGCCCUCUGGGGAGUCCCGAAAGGUCUAAUUAAA